CGACGCUUGUUGUCCUCCCUUUUCGAAUACGUCUCUGUAGAGCGAGUCCAUCGGAUCAGAGCAGGACUCCCCCUGCUGGUCGUCCUGCUUUACUUCACCUGGAGGAAAAUACAACAGCACAGCCAUCUCCCGUCUCUGUAAACGCUGUCGACGCCUCUCUGUACCUCGAUGGUAAAGUGCGGUGAGGAAACCCAGCCGGUCGUUUCCCUGGAAAAGCGCCCGUUCGAUCUCCAUUUCGCGGCGUGACAGCGGCCGGCUGGAGGCGAAUCGCUGUGGGCGGGA